rnacentral:sRNA from 1 species
CAACAAAUGUAAAGGAGGUGAUCCAGUGUCAAGAAAGGUAUUGGAGAGAGGUGUCGGAACAGCUUGGGAGGUAACCCGCUAAGGCAGCCCUUGGCGGUUGAAACAACCCUGGUGGACAGGCGUCUAACCGACCCACCUCCGUAAACCAUUCGAUUGGGCCGCUCCGCAACAGGGGCGGCCCA